GGAUGGAAUGAUGUUAUUUUCGACCUCCACCACCCUCUCUGGUAGAAAGUACGUCAUUCACCUC